UAGUAAUUAACCAUACAAAUCAGCUCACGCUGUCCUAGUGUAAUUAUAAAUGUAUAGUAUACAUUGCCAUGUCUAAUUAGACAUCAAUUGGAAUUGUUCACACAUUCUCUGCCCUGUUGGACUGGUAUUAAUAAACUAUCACCUUUAGACAGCAAAAUUACAAUGGGCCAGUAUGAUGAUUUAUUGAUUGUAAUAUAUACCAGUCUACCCA